AAGGUUUAAUCCCCUGGAAUUUCCUACAGAGGCUCUGUAGAAGUUUAAUCAGUUCAGUCAAUUCCCCCUUCUCCAGGCAAAAGUCUGAAAUCAAGGGUGUCCUGUAAACCAGCUAAUCAGUGAGGAGCUGAGAUGGCCUCUGGACACUUGUAACCAUUGUGAGUGACUGUAUUUUCCUUGAGUGGCUGUCAGGAGCACAAGCUCUCUGGACUGUGACCAUCAAACCAGCCUACUUCAACCCAUGAUCAUUUCCCAGGGCAGCACACUGUAGGACAGGACCUGCCUGGCUUUUAUGUUCAGUUUCAUCUGAAUGCUCACUCCAGACCUUUCUGGGCCCUCUCAACCUCAGAGAACACUGAUUUCCAAGGGUGCUGUUCCGUAUUGCCAGGAACCCCUGCUGCUCUGAGCUGUGGGACCAGUACUUCAGCUCUCAAAUGUUGUGCAUCUCCUGGAGCAUUUUGGUUUCCAUAGAUAUGUGCUCUUGGUUCAUCAUUAGUUUCCUUACCAACAACAAAGAGCAGGCCUCCAAUUCCUCGCACAAAGUUGAAGCGGAGGAUCUCGAUGGAGAAUGCGAUGACUGCAAGGGCAAAACAGAUGACCAGGAUCACAAAGCCAACGAGGUAUGUGGCAGCUGCUGCUCUCCCCCACCCUUGAAGAGAAAACAAGGAAGGUAUUACACACAGCAGUACUCUCCUGUAAGUCAUUGCAGCUCUUUGGGGUCCUUUAUUCAUUUUUUAUUGAAAUCCUUUACUGUAAGAAG